rnacentral:misc_RNA from 1 species
AACGCACAUUGCGCCCUUCGGUAUUCCGUUGGGCAUGCCUGUUCGAGCGUCAUUUAAACCCUCAAGCUCAGCUUGGUGUUGGGUGCUUGUCCUCCCCCCGUGGUGGACUCACCUCAAAUGCAUUGGCGGCCUGUAUGUUGGCUUCGAGCGCAGUAGAAUCGCGCCCUGAGUCUCUAUAUGCAGGUCCCCCAGAAGCACCUUUCUUAUCAUUGACCUCGGAUCAGGUAGGGAUACCCGCUGAACUUAA